CAGCCGCCGCGGUAAAACGGAGGGGGCUAGCGUUGUUCGGAAUUACUGGGCGUAAAGCGCACGUAGGCGGCUUGGUAAGUUAGAGGUGAAAGCCCGGAGCUCAACUCCGAAAUUGCCUUUAAGACUGCCGAGCUAGUAGGUGAGAGAGGUAAGUGGAAUUCCGAGUGUAGAGGUGAAAUUCGUAGAUAUUCGGAAGAACACCAGUGGCGAAGGCGGCUUACUGGCUCAUUCUAGACGCUGAGGUGCGAAAGCGUGGGGAGCAAACAGGAUUAGAUACCCCGGUAGUCCCUGUCUCUUAUAA
rnacentral:rRNA from 1 species